CUUCUAUAAAUUCAACCUUUCUUCUAGUUUUUCUUUCAUUCGCUUGACCAUCUCCUGACUCUACUUCUUCAUUUCAAUUUCUUAAUUUGCUUUCUUGCACGUAUCCACACACACAGAGAGAGAGAGAGAGAGAGAGAGAGAGAACAUUUCUUUCAAUUGUAAUGGAGUCUGCUUGGGUUAACACUUCUAUUGACCUCAACAUCAACCCUUUCAAGCAUAGUGAUGCAACAUCUCCGAAGAAAGAACUGAAAGAAGGAGAUUUUAUUGCUGGGUUUGGACGGAAACCACCUGUUAUAGAAGAGACUAGCGUUUUGGUUGAAGAGUUGGCUCGGAUAAGCACUGAGAACAAGAAGCUAACAGAAAUGUUA
rnacentral:misc_RNA from 1 species